rnacentral:rRNA from 1 species
AUUGAACGCUGGCGGCAGGCUUAACACAUGCAAGUCGAGCGGGGGAAGGUAGCUUGCUACCGGACCUAGCGGCGGACGGGUGAGUAAUGCUUAGGAAUCUGCCUAUUAGUGGGGGACAACAUCUCGAAAGGGAUGCUAAUACCGCAUACGUCCUACGGGAGAAAGCAGGGGAUCUUCGGACCUUGCGCUAAUAGAUGAGCCUAAGUCGGAUUAGCUAGUUGGUGGGGUAAAGGCCUACCAAGGCGACGAUCUGUAGCGGGGCUGAGAGGAUGAUCCGCCACACUGGGACUGAGACACGGCCCAGACUCCUACGGGAGGCAGCAGUGUGGAAUAUUGGACAAUGGGGGGAACCCUGAUCCAGCCAUGCCGCGUGUGUGAAGAAGGCCUUAUGGUUGUAAAGCACUUUAAGCGAGGAGGAGGCUACUUUAGUUAAUACCUAGAGAUAGUGGACGUUACUCGCAGAAUAAGCACCGGCUAACUCUGUGCCAGCAGCCGCGGUAAUAC